UACGUAGGGGGCAAGCGUUGUCCGGAUUUAUUGGGCGUAAAGAGCGUGUAGGCGGCCAGGUAGGUCUGCUGUGAAAACUCGAGGCUUAACCUCGAGAUGUCGGCGGAAACCAUCUGGCUAGAGUCCGGAAGAGGAGAAUGGAAUUCCCGGUGUAGCGGUGAAAUGCGCAGAUAUCGGGAAGAACACCCGUGGCGAAGGCGGUUCUCUGGGACGGUACUGACGCUGAGACGCGAAAGCGUGGGGAGCGAACAGGG
rnacentral:rRNA from 1 species